AGAGUUUGAUCCUGGCUCAGGACGAACGCUGGCGGCGUGCUUAACACAUGCAAGUCGAACGAGGUCCAACCAGUGGCAACACUGGAGAAGACCUAGUGGCGAACGGGUGAGUAACACGUGAGGAACCUACCCCGAAGACUGGGAUAAGCCCCCGAAAGGGGGUCUAAUACUGGAUACCCCCUCCAGGUCGCAUGGCCAGGGGAGGAAAGGUCAGCCGCUUCGGGACGGUCUCGCGGCCUAUCAGCUUGUUGGUGAGGUAACGGCUCACCAAGGCGACGACGGGUAGCUGGUCUGAGAGGACGAUCAGCCACACUGGGACUGAGACACGGCCCAGACUCCUACGGGAGGCAGCAGUGGGGAAUCUUGCGCAAUGGGCGAAAGCCUGACGCAGCAACGCCGCGUGCGGGAUGAAGGCCUUCGGGUUGUAAACCGCUUUCAGUAGGGACGAACACAGACGGUACCUACAGAAGAAGCACCGGCCAACUACGUGCCAGCCGCCGCGGUAAUAC
rnacentral:rRNA from 1 species